ensembl:lncRNA
CUGGCAGUGGAUUCUUUGCCACUAAGCCACCAGGGAAGCCCAUUUUGCUAUUUUCUACCUCUCAAAUUUUGCUUUACAAGUUUUUAUUUAACAGUUUCAUGCUUAGUAACGUUUUUCUAUGGGUUGAUCAUGAGAUUUGAAAAUGGAUGUAUAGUGUUUACGUUAGUUCAACUCUAAAUGCUAUUCUCUACCUAGUCGAGGAGUUGCUGGAACCACUUUUCCCUCCUUACAGUCAAAUGUUAUGGCCUCUCUUCCACUGAAGGGAAGAUAUUUCUUAUAUCUGAAUCAAAUUGAUGAUCUUUUCCCAUACUCUAUUAAUUGCUCCCACUGUGGUUCUUAUUUUGGCCACAGUUUUCCUCUAUAGAUUUUCCCGCCUAGAAUCCCCAAAUACUUUUAAAGAAAGAUAUCUUCAUCUUAACUUUGAAAUCAUCCCGACUUUCAUGGAUAAUCACCUACAGAAUGUGAUCCACUGUUCCAGAUAAAAAUAGGAAACAAUCCAUACGUCCUUGAGUGAGUGAACGGUUGAACUCUGAUACAUCCCUACCAUGGAAUACUCCUCAGCAAUGACAAGGAAGAAACUAUUGAUUCGGGCAACAGCUUGUAUGGAUCUCAGAGGCAUUUCACUGAGCGAAAAGAAGCACAGUUUACAACAGCCAAGACAUGGAACCAGCCUACAUGUCCAUUGACAGAGGAAUGGAUAAAGGAGAGGUGGCAUGGAAAAAAAAAAGAAGAGGUGGCACGAAUUUACAAUGGAAUAUCACUCAGCCAUUAGAAAGAAUGAAACAAUGCCAUUCGCAGCAACAUGGAUGGACCCAGAGACUGUCAUACUGAGUGAAGAAAACCUGAAGGAACUCUGUGGACAACCCAGUGCAUCAUAAUACUAACCUCACCGGGCUGUUGGGAUGGUUGACUAAGUGAAC